UCCUAUCUCAGACUGCUUUGGCCACUUAGG
rnacentral:piRNA from 1 species